CGGCAACAGCUCAAAUUUGAAAUCUGGCGCAAGCCCGAGUUGUAAUUUGUAGAGGAUGCUUCUGGGUAGCGACCGGUCUAAGUUCCUUGGAACAGGACGUCAUAGAGGGUGAGAAUCCCGUAUGUGACCGGCCCGCACCCUUUACGUAGCUCCUUCGACGAGUCGAGUUGUUUGGGAAUGCAGCUCUAAAUGGGAGGUAAAUUUCUUCUAAAGCUAAAUACCGGCCAGAGACCGAUAGCGCACAAGUAGAGUGAUCGAAAGAUGAAAAGUACUUUGGAAAGAGAGUUAAAAAGCACGUGAAAUUGUUGAAAGGGAAGCGCCUGCAAUCAGACUUCGCGGCAGUGUUCCGCCGGUCUUCUGACCGGUUUAUUCUCUGUCGCGAGGCCAUCAUCGUCUCGGCCCGCUGGAUAAGACCUUGGGAAUGUAGCUCACCUCCGGGGGAGUGUUAUAGCUCAUGGUGAUGCAGCGAGGCUGGGGCGAGGUCCGCGCUUCGGCAAGGAUGAUGGCGUAAUGGUUGUCGGCGGCCCGUCUUGAAACACGGACCAAGGAGUCUAACAUCUAUGCGAGUGUUCGGGUGUCAAACCCCUACGCGUAAUGAAAGUGAACGGAGGUGGGAACCGCAAGGUGCACCAUCGACCGAUCCUGAUGUCCUCGGAUGGAUUUGAGUAAGAGCAUAGCUGUUGGGACCCGAAAGAUGGUGAACUAUGCCUGAAUAGGGUGAAGCCAGAGGAAACUCUGG
rnacentral:rRNA from 1 species